AUGCCUUUGGGACGAACUGGUCCCUGAUAUUUGAUAAUCAUCUCCUUCACUUUGUCUGCUAAAACCUUUGCAUUUUUAGCUGAUCAUUUAUGGAUGAGAUAUCU